rnacentral:rRNA from 1 species
GUGCCCUACGGGACGCAGCAGUAGGGAAUCUUCCACAAUGGGCGAAAGCCUGAUGGAGCAACGCCGCGUGGGUGAAGAAGGUCUUCGGAUCGUAAAACCCUGUUGUUAGAGAAGAAAGUGCGUGAGAGUAACUGUUCACGUUUCGACGGUAUCUAACCAGAAAGCCACGGCUAACUACGUGCCAGCAGCCGCGGUAAUACGUAGGCGGCAAGCGUUAUCCGGAUUUAUUGGGCGUAAAGGGAACGCAGGCGGUCUUUUAAGUCUUAUGUGAAAGCCUUCGGCUUAACCGGUGGAGUGCAUUGGCA